GGAGAGAUGCCCGAGUGGCUAAAGGGGGCAGACUGUAAAUCUGUUGGCUAGCGCCUACGCUGGUUCAAAUCCAGCUCUCUCCA
rnacentral:tRNA from 2 species